rnacentral:pre_miRNA from 1 species
UCACCUCUGCAGGCUGGCCAGACCCAGACUGGACUGGGCAAGUAUCUCUUCAAAAGGCUCACCCUGAAGCAUGACUAAGAAU